UACGUAGGGUGCGAGCGUUGUCCGGAAUUAUUGGGCGUAAAGGGCUCGUAGGCGGUUUGUCACGUCGGGAGUGAAAACUCGGGGCUCAACCCCGAGCCUGCUUCCGAUACGGGCAGACUAGAGGUAUGCAGGGGAGAAUGGAAUUCCUGGUGUAGCGGUGAAAUGCGCAGAUAUCAGGAGGAACACCGGUGGCGAAGGCGGGUCUCUGGGCCGAUACUGACGCUGAGGAGCGAAAGCGUGGGGAGCGAACAGG
rnacentral:rRNA from 1 species